rnacentral:lncRNA from 1 species
UCGUGCCUUGUUGAAGAUUUAUUCUAUUUAUCACUUUCCAUUGGUUCCUAUAUUAUUACAUCAACUUCAAAUCAUUUAUUUAUUUGUGAUUUUCAUCGCUCAUAAAAUCUCAUGAUUCUUAAGCUCGAUCAAUGAUAUUUCGUGAAGAGGCAUUGUAAUUGGAGACUUGAUGUGUAGGAAUUCUUGAGACACUAAUUUCAUUGUUGGUCAAGCUUUGGGUCUAGGUCGUAAGCAUGCAAAAGCAAUGACAGCAAUAAAAGCAAUGUCUCCUGCCAUUUUUUGACUUCUCGGGGUUGAUAAUCGAGGGUCCAAAAUUUCAUUUAGCAUGAAAUUUUGGACACGAGACAAUGAUGAUGAUAGUAUUGACAACAAUUCACCAGGAUGCUUUCCCAUCAAUACUUCCAACGCUAGCACUCCAAAACUAUAAACAUCACAUUUUUUGGUCAUGAGUCAUGACCAACGAAUAAGCAAGUUCUGUAAUUACAACAACAAAAAUAAUUAAAUACAUGUUAAUUUAUAUUUUGUAAUCAGCAUGUAUGUUUGCAUUUGAAUCCUCCAAUCUAGAAUUAAUUUUUUAUUUAUUUAUAUUUGAUAUUUCUUAAUUUUGUUUUUCCUAAUUGUUUCCCUCAUUAUUCUAAUUUGUAAUUCGCAACAAAUAAGCAGCAGAAACUAAAUAAAAAGGAAAAGAAGAGAGUGAAGGUGCAGAACCUGGGGCAAUAUAUCCAUACGUCCCAACAAUUACAGUUCGAUUAGAUGAAUCAGGAUCAAGAAGUCUUGCAGUCCCAAAGUCAGCAAUAACAGCUUCCAAUUCAGAGUUCAACAAAAUGUUAUUGCUUGAGAUGUCUCGAUGAACAAUUGGAGGGUUGCAAUCAUGAUGCAUGUAAGAUAGAGCAUGUGCGACACCUUUGACAAUGUUCACUCUUUUGGUCCAAUCCAAUUCCACAGCUUCCUCAUCAAUGCUCAAGGCAUAAAACAAGCUUCCCUUUUCCAUAUAUUCAUAAAUCAAGAACAUGCAACGGUUGUGGAGACAAAAUCCGUGGAGCUUGACGAUGUUCUUGUGUCGUAUUUCUGUUAAAAACUUGAUCUCAUUUCGGAAACUUGUGUCGUAAGCCGGUUGCUCCGCUUCCAAUCGGUGGAGUUUUUUUAAGGCAACAACUUUGCCAUUUGGUAAGACUGCUCUGUAAACACUGCCAUAACCACCCGUUCCAAUGCAAUAUUUGAUAUCAAAAUCCUCCGUUGCUCUGAUGAUGUCUUCAAAUGCAAUCUUUCCAUCAAAAUUCCAAAUACAAAAUAAAUCUCCAUUUUUGGUUGGACUUGGAAUAUGUUUCAAAGCUUCAGCUCUAUAUUAUCGGCAAAGGAUGAAUAUCAGCAAUGCAAAGUAUGAGAUAAGAAACAACACUGUCAGGACAAGAAUAAUGACGCCCAGAUUGUGAUUCGUUGAAGGGCAAGGAAGGAAGCCUUGAAAGGAACCACAUAAAUACUUGUUAUCAUAGAGAGCGACAGAUGUUAACUGGCCGAGAGAGGAAGGGAUGUGACCUGAAAGCCAAUUGGAGGAUAGAUUCAAAUUAAUCAAAUUUGUUAGUCUCCCAAUAUCUUCUGGAAUGGGUUCACUAAGUUGGUUACUUUGAAGGAACAACGAGUUAAGAUUGGUUAAGUUGCUGACAGAAGAUGGUAUUAGACCAACAAGACUAUUGGAGGAUAGAUCCAAUUCAAGCAAAUUCGUUAGUCUCCCAAUAUCUUCUGGAAUAGAUUCAUUAAGUUGGUUGAUUUGAAGGAACAACGAGGUAAGAUUGGUUAAGUUGCUGACAGAAGAUGGUAUUGGACCAACAAGACUAUUGGAGGAUAGAUCCAAUUCAACCAAAUUCGUUAGUCUCCCAAUUUCUUGUGGAAUGGAUCCAUUAAGUUGGUUGCUUUGAAGGUCCAACGAGGCAAGAUUGGUUAAGUUGCUGACAGAAGAUGGGAUUGGACCAACAAGCCUAUUGUAGGAUAGAUCGAAUGCAACCAAAUUCGUUAAUCUCCCAAUUUCUUGUGGAAUGGAUCCAUCAAGUUGGUUGCUUUGAAGGUCCAACGAGGCAAGAUUGGUUAAGUUGCUGACAGAAGAUGGGAUUGGACCAACAAGCCUAUUGUCGGAUAGAUCGAAUGCAACCAAAUUCGUUAGUCUCCCAAUUUCUUGUGGAAUGGAUCCACUAAGUUGGUUGCUUUGAAGGUCCAACGAGGUAAGAUUGGUUAAGUUGCUGACCGAAGAUGGUAUUGGACCAACAAGACUAUUGGAGGAUAGAUCCAAUUCAACCAAAUUCGUUAGUCUCCCAAUAUCUUCUGGAAUGGAUCCAUUAAGUUGGUUGCUUUGAAGGUACAACGAGGCAAGAUUGGUUAAGUAGCUGACAGAAGAUGGGAUUGGACCAACAAGCCUAUUGGAGGAUAGAUCUAAUGCAACCAAAUUCUUUAGUCUCCCAAUUUCUUGUGGAAUGGAUCCAUUAAGUUUGUUGCUUUGAAGGUACAACGAGGCAAGAUUGGUUAAGUUGCUGACAGAAGAUGAGAUUGGACCAACAAGCCUAUUGGAGGAUAGAUCUAAUGCAACCAAAUUCCUUAAGUCUCCAAAUUUCUUGUGGAAUGGAUCCAAUAAGUUGGUUGCUUUGAAGGUACAACGAGGCAAGAUUCGUUAAGUUGCUGAAAGAAGAUGGGAUUGGACCAAUAAGCCCGUUGUUUGAGAGAUCAAGAUCAACCAUACUCUCUAGCUUUCCAAUAUUUGGUGGAAUAUUGGAAUAAAUAUAAUUACAAGAAACAUCAAGCACUGCCAAUUGAGUGAGGUUUCCAAUUGAAGAAGGUAACUCACCUGUAAGGAUAUUCCAAGACAGGUUGAGGUACCUGAGCUUUGAAAGUGCUCCUAUUUGAGGUGUUAUGCUCCCAUUCAGACCAUGGCCACUAAGAUCAAUAUCGACGACACUUCCAGCAUUGCAUCGAAUACCAGGCCACAUACAAUGGUUUCCAACUCUCUUUUUAUAAUUACUCCACCACCCUGUUUCCAUCAAGGCUUGUGCCUCUGCUGCCAGCCAUUUAGAAUCAUCGUUCGUUGCUCUUGUAAUUCCACUAGUGAUCACAAUUAUAGAGAGUAAAAAGAAGGUAGGGAUAGAAGUGUAAAAGUAGGAUUUCAUAGCUAUGAAGUUGAGGACUCCAAUUCUCAAACUUGAGCUUAUUUAAAUACAUAUAAAACAGAUUUAAGUUUAUUGGAUAUAUAUUAAUUUCAAAGUCUUUAGGCAUUGUCUAACACAGAUUGAUUAAUAUUAUGUUAAGGACUUGUCUUCGUCUCUUAGAAGUAAACUGGAAGUUAUAGCAAAUGUUGUGUCUUUCUUUGUUGAAGCUUCUAAGAAGGUGAUAAUUGAAUAAAAUGCGAUGCUUUUUUUAUUUUACUAAUACCACUCCAUAAAGCGAUGUCAGAUUGGACCAACCAAUUUGUUCGUUGAUAUAUUUAAACUCACAGGAUUUUUCAAAUUUCCAACAACUGCUGGCAUAGGACCUGUAAUUAAAUCAUAAAGGAGUAUAUCAUAUAAUAUUCAACUUUAGGUUAUAUAUAAAUAAAAGGGAUAUAUAUAUACAUACUAUUCUAUCUUAGAAAAUAUUUUUUCAAAUUUAGUAAUGCGUUGAAAUUAUAUAUUCCAGUUCGACAAGAAAAGUUAGUAAUGCGUUGCUUCCACAUGCUAUCAUCUCUCUUAAUUAUUUACUAUUGAUGCCCUGAAAAAAACUUGUAGAACAACUAAAAACCAUGUCCAUAAGAGAUCAAUCGACCAUUAUUGACUUGAAAGUUCAAAGUCUUUACUAGUCUUUACCUAACAUUUCCCUACAUGUUUAUAUCGAUGGGUCCAGAAAUAGCAAUGCUUGACAAAACAUUUUCUUAUAUUGUUUUUUUAUUAUCACACCAACGUGAAAUGUUGUAAUUGAUUUCUUGAAACCAAAUUAGUAAUAUUCUCUAGUUGACUUUCAUGCUUUUGAAGAACAUCCAGAAUCAAUAUUGCAAAGACUUGGAAAAUAAACUCUUAUAUUAUUUUUAGAAAAAUAUUACUAAAUAUUCACUUCUACAUAAUUUUUAAUUUUUUAAGUUUUUAAAAAGAAUUUUAUUUUUUUAUCAUUUUAAAUAUAAUCAUGAUCAAAUUGAUAGAAAUCAUAAAAUCUUACGUCUAAAUUAUUAUUACAAACUAAAGUAACCAAACUUUAAAAAUAACUCAACUUGUCCCGUUAUGGUUUAAAAUUUUGUUCUAACCCCUUGAUCUAAAACCAAACUUUUAGUUUUAAUUUUAAUUCUAAAACCAAAUUAAGAUUUAACUUUGCCAUUGUUUGAUAAUCAAUUGAAAAAAACUAAAUCAUCUAAAAUUUAAUAUUUUUAUUCACUUAAUUUUUUAAGCAUGUUCGAUAAAAAAAUAAAUUAUAGAAUUUGUUUCAAUAAUGAAGUAUGAAAAAUGAUAAAUAGAUAAAGAGUUACUUAUCACUUAAUGUAGAAUUUUUUAUUUCAUUUUAUUUCUUUUAACAUUAUCUUUUGAAUAUUUUACCUUUAAACUUCAAAAUUUUCAUUUAUAUCACAAAUUCUACAUGUCUGUUUUGCGGUCCAUGUUCGGAGUUCAUGAACACCCCUUUCAACAACAUUGUCUCUAAGAUUGAACAUAUAUUCUCUUUUAAAAGUAUAAUGUGUCUUACAAUUACACCCAACACUUGUUGAUAUAUACCAAACAUAUUUUAUGACUACUUAAUUUUCUAAUGCUUAAAUAACACUUUUUUGGUAUAUGUGAAACUCAUUUUCUACUAACUACUUAAAUGAGAGUAAUCAAAUAAAUUGAUUUUGUGUAGAUUGAAGCACAAAGUUAGAAGACUUAAAUUCCAUCAAGGGCUCCAUGUUAGAAGUGCGAGCAUAAUAUGCAUGCUUAAACCAACAUUGACUUACUUGGUGGAGAGUGUAAUAUGUUGACAGUAAUGGUUAAUGGUUUCUAUCAAGUUUCGAGGAAUAUUGCUUGUGAAGACAAUAAUGGUUUCCGCGUGGGUCAUAGGCUUCUCAUGGCAAUCCGUAACCACUGGGCUCAAACCAAAAUAUACAAGGAAGACCUUGACUUCCUAAGCAAUAUACUUGCUUAAAUUCAUUUCCAUCUUCAUCUUUAUUCAAACACAAUUUCUUGGCUAGUGUUCCGUCACUUUUUUUCCUUUCAAUUUCUUUUUAAACAAAAGCUAAAUUCAUUAAAAUUAAAAGAAAAAAAAUCAUUAAUUCAUUCCAUGAAUGAGAUCAUACAAUUCGAGAAAAAUAAAAAGAAACAACAAACACUCGUCAGCGGUGAAAGACAAGCUCCAACAACACGACAAAAGAUUUAUCCUCAAUAUCAAUAGAACAUUAUUACACGCUGACAAUCGGCUUUAUCACAACUGAAGCUCAACAUAUCUAUAGAGAUUGCAAAUAACUAUCACGAUAGGAAAUCAGCCUCGGAUGGUUUAAAGUAGCGGGCAGAAUCAACAAAAGAACUGAGCAUCCACCAAACUAAAGGGAAUGAUGACAAAACCCUCCCUAAAAUCACUUGCAAAAGCAAGACUGAAAAACUUGUAUAAGACAAUUAUAAAAACUUUCAAAAGUAAAGACUUAUUAAACAAUAGAAAAAUAAAAAUUAAGAUAACACAAACAUCUUAUAAAAUCAUAAUAUGCAUUAUUAAACCAAUGUUGAUUUACUCGGUGGCGAAAUUUUAAAUAUAGUUAAUGGUUUCUAUCUAGUUUCUACGAAUGCUGCUUGUGAAGACAAUGAUGGUUUCCGCGUGGGCCAUAGGCUUCUCAUGCCAAGCCGUAACCACUGGGCUCAAACCAAAAUAUACAAGGAAUACACUUGGUUAAAUUGACUUCCAUCUUAACACUAAUUUCUUGGUUACUGUUCCAUCACUUUUUUCUAAUUUAAUUUUUUUUUCAAUUUAUUUAAAAACAAAAACUAAACUCAUUAAAAUUGAAAGAAAAAAAAUCAUAAAUUUAUUCCAUGAAUGAGAUCAUAUCAUUUGGGAAAAGGAAAAAAAACAACAAACACUCAUCGCCAGUGAAAGAUAAGCUCCAACAACACGACAACCUUAGUAUCAAUAGAACAUUAUGACACAUUGACAAUCGACUUGGUCACAACUCAAGCACAACAUAUUUGAAGUGAUUGUAAUCAAAUAUCAUGGUAGGAAAGCAGCAUCAGAUGGUUCAAAUUGGCAGGCAAAAUCGACAAAACCCGAGCAUCCACCAAACUAGAGAGGACGACGACAAAAUCAUCCCUAGAACAACUUGUAAAAGUAAGACUAAAUGCGUAAGACAGACUAAAAACUUGUACAAGACAAGACAAAAAAAAUUCAAAAGUAAAGACUUAUUAAACAAUGGAAAACAAACAACAACAAAAAUAAAACUUAAGAUAACACGGGUCCGAAGGGACUCAUGAAAUAAUUUAUUUUUCUAAAAUACUCUCAAAACAUAUACAGAUUAAGAAGUCGAUUGUAACACCCCAAACUCGGGCUGGACAUUAUGGCCGGAUCAGGCGAUGUCACAUGGUAGUGUGUUUGAAAACCAUAACUUUGCUUAAAAUAAUUCCCGUUUGGAAACUUUUCGUUAUUACUUAUUAAUUCUAAAAUCGCGUUAUUUAAUCAGUCGAAAGUUUUCAAAACAUUUAUUCAAUGUGGAAGCUUUUAAAACAAUUUGCGUAUUUGUGAGUAUUUUGUUAAAACGUUUGUUUCUUUUGAAAACUCGAGUUUUCCUAACACUAGCAGCUAUAAUCCAAAAACAUUAAAAAUUCUAAAUUAAAGUAAAAAUCCAUAGAGGCCAUAUUACAUCAAAAAUCUCCCAAUAAAAAUUUAAUCCAUAACUAAGUACUAAACAAUAAGAAAGAGGUCGUGUCGCCACCGCUGCGUCCUCCGCCGCACCAAUCCACCUAAACCUGGGGAUUACCUGUACAGAUAAAUCAGAUGGGUGAGUUUACAAAAACUCAGUGUGUAAUCCCCAUAUAAAACAAGCAGAUAAAAUGCAAUCACAGUCUGGGCCUAAGCCCUUUCCAGUUUUAGAUUUAGUUUCAGUUAGGGCCUUAGCCCAUCUCAAUGCAGAAGCAGUCAUGCAUUAGGGCCUUGGCCCAUUACAAUAUCAGUAAUCAGUAUCAGUAAGUAAUAGAUAUGCAGUCACAAAAUCCUACCCAAUCAGCCUCUACACACCAUCUCCGUCUAGCCCUACACUCCAUGUGGGGAUAUAAUCAACCCACCCAUCCCUCCACUCCAAGUAGUACUGAGUACAGCACUAGACAGUAGUUUGCAGCUGAGUUGCCAAUAAAAUAGGCUCGAAGCCUUUUAGUACACUUCUUUCGAACAAUAUCAACCCCUAACCUGAUGCAAUGCAAUAUACAAUUCUGACAUGCUAGUAAUACAUACAAUAUCUAUAACACCCCAAACCCAACCUAGACGUUAAGGCAGAAUCUGGCGUGUCACAUUAAAAUGCUUUUCGAAAAAAAACUGUCUUAUUAAUAAAUCUCGCUUGAAAGAUAAAAGCCCCUUUUGUUUAAUUCUAAAGUCAACUUAAUUAUUUGUUAACCAUUUUAAACCAGCCUUACUUUUAAAAACAUGUUUGUUGCAGAAGCAUUUCUGAUAUCUAUAACACCCCAAAUCCGACCUAGACGUUAUGGCCGAAUCUGGCGUGUCACUUUAAAAUGCUUUUUCGAAAAAAAACUUUGUCUUAUUAAUAAAUCUUGCUUGAAAGAUAAAAACCCAUUUUGUUUAAUUCUAAAGUCAACUUAAUUAUUUGUUAACCAUUUUAAACCAGCCUUACUUUUAAAAACAUGUUUGUUGCGAAAACGUGAUGUUUUGAAAAUAGAUAUCCUUUUGGAAAACCGUGCUUUACUUUUAACAGAAAUAAAUCAUAAUAGUUAAAAAAGACCCCAAAUUAAAAUCUAGCAAAUUAGAGAAAAGGCCUUAUUACAUCAAAAACCCAAAGAAAAAGUAAUUUAAGUAAUGUAAAAGAAAAAGCGAAAAUUUAAAGCUGUUCGUAGUGUGGCCACCUCCGAGUCCUCCCACACGUCGAACCUCUUACUGAGGAUUACUUGGAAAAUUUAAAAGAGAGAGGUGAGUUUAUGAAAACUCAGUAUGAACAACCCUCAUCGAUCAUAAAGCAUGCAUCGCAUCAAUAUGGGCCUAAGCCCAUUACAAUAAUGAUGACACUUGGGCCUUAGCCCAUUACAAUAAUGAUGGCACUUGGGCCUUAGCCCAUAGUAGCCUUAGUUGGGCCUGAGCCCAUGUCACAAUCAGAAUCGAAUUAUGUAAUGCACAAAUACCCAACUAACCCUGCACUCCGCAUCCCAUCCAACCCUACACUCUUAUGGGGAUUUAAUCGACCCACCCAUUCCUACACUCUUGAGGUAGCACCGGUUGCGACACUAACCAAUUUUGCAGCAAAAUUGCCAAUCACAUAAUGGCUUUAAGCCGUCGAUGGAUCCACAAUCGUCAGGCGACCAUGCGACCCUAACAAGUCAUAUACUUCAUUCAAACCAAUGAUCCCGUCCCCCAUCCAGCAUAAUCUCACAUGAAUGCAAACAUAUCAUAAAUGGCAUACAAUAACAAUCAUAUAACAUGUAGGGGCAUUUUAGUCAUUUUGCCCUUCGGGGGCAUAAUGGUCAUUUUACCUAUUUUGGGGUUUCAGCUCAGGUAACAACCUUCCCGAAGGUCUACAGACACCUCGUGCGACAUAGAUAACCUCAAUGAUCAUAACGGUGUAAAUGGGCCCAAGGCCCAUUACUCGGCCUAAGUGGGCCCGCACGCUUGUGUGGUACAUUUAGCCUAAAUUCAGUUACGACUAUAUGACUUACAUAGCCCAAUCCAAUAUUUAUCAAUUACCGUGGAUUUAAUCUGUGUGGAGCCCAUGAGCCCAUUGGGCCCACACAACCCAUUUUGGCCCAACGUGGCCCAUAAUCGCCCACGUCCAUGGAAACGCUCGUGGUGGUCUUUACAGUCUAUCACCCAUGAUUUGUGGGCUCAGUUUACCCUAUGAGUGAUCGCACGCUCGUGAGGCCUCAAAUGCCGAGGUUUUGGCACUUUGACUUUUCGGCUUUUGCCAAUCUACAUUAAGGAAGGGUGUGGUUACACACCUAUUUGUGAAAACAAUACGAAUAGUCCUCGAGUACCAAAACCUAUAUCCAUUCACAACACACGAUUAAUCACAUGUCAAUAGAAAUACAACUAGCCUUAAUCAAUACACUUAGUCACUUAAACCAUAACCACCUACCCUUGCUUGAGCCAAAGAAUAUUCGCACCAAACUAUUGAUCAAGAGCGAUUACCCACUCCUUGACUAAUAUCUGCAAACAAAUCGAACCUCCUAUUAACAUAUAUUUACGAAAAUAAUUGAUCUUUAGCGAAACACAUACUCACUGAAGUCAUGAAUGUAGAACCGAAUAGAAUUCAAAGUCAGCAGAGAAGGAAAAAGAGAAAUUUCGGCACAGUGAGGGUAAAAAUACGAUGGAAUAUCAGUAAUAACAGAGAACAAGGGAGCGUUCUAACUUAGCAAUAAUCCCCAACUUUUGACAGUAACCCCAGGAAAAACAACAGCCUAAAGAAAAAGAAGGGAAAAAUAGUUGCUUUCACAGAGGAACCAAACAAUAAUUGGCCAAGAGAAAAACUUGUCAAAACCGAAAAUGUUGAGAGGGGAAAAAAGGGUUUAAAAAUAAUCAAUCUAGAGAGAAAGCAAUUGAGAAAGGAAGGAGAAGAAGAUUAAUUAAAUCGGCCACAGUCUCCAGGCUACAAAAAUAAUAAAUGAAAAAAAAAGAUAGGGUUUGAGUAAGGGAGGAAGUAUGUAUUCGGUUUAAAGAGAAAGAAAGAGAAAUAGUUUUAGAAGGAGGAGAGUAAAAGAGGCAAAAGGAUGAGAGUCGAGAAACUUGAAGAAGAGUGUACAACCAAAACCAGCAAAGGGAAAAGGCACUAUUAGAAACUCUUUUUGCACUCACUUCUUGAAACUGAAAUUCCUAAGUGCUUUACAGUUCAAAAAUGACACACCCCUCUCCCACACCUCAACCUCUAUGAUUUUCUCCAUAAUCCAUUCCUUGACCAGGUCAAAUUCCAACCACCCUUGUAGUGUCUUAUUCAAACUCCACCAAAUACUCUUUUGUACAGUAAAAUAAAUACUCCUUUGUGCAUAGAGUGACUUGAACUCAAACUCAAACUCCCUUGCCACCUUAAUGACGCCACAACUACUGGAGUACAAGCUCAUCUUAUGUCACAUUUUAAUCUUAAUUAUUUAAAAGGCUUACUUCCAAAUACCAAGGGUUUUAUUCACUUAAAUAAAAAAUUUAGCUAAAGCCCAUGUUUGAACCCAGGACUUUUCCAACACUCUCAAAUAUGCCCAAACACUUAGCCACUUAAAGCCAACAUGCAAUUUGUGUCACUUUCUUGCUCUCAAAAAUUUUAGGUGCUCCCAAACCCAAAGCCCAAUUCCUCUAAGCCCAAAAUUUGGGGUGUUACAAUAUCAAUUCAGUGAAAUAUCAUCAUGCUCGAUAACAUAUAAAUUCAUUUAAAUCAGUCAUACAGUCAUUUUCUUAAUUAGAGGUCUAAGUAAGCUUACCGACCCUACAGUGGGUCCACAGUCAACUCGGGUGACUCGUGCAACCUUAACAACAAAAUAGUGAAAAUGGGCCCACACUCCCAUUUUGUCCACUGUGUGGCUGGCCUUGGCCGUGUGGAUCUCACAGCCUGGCCCAAAAAUUUCAUACGCCUAUGUGGCGUCCACAGCCCCAUUUUUUAGCUUUUCACCGAUUGCCAUUUUUAGUAUUGUGGUUAUACACCUGCUUGGAUUUUGAAGCCUAAAACUCCUGAGCACUCCCGGAACCUAAAAUCAGCAACAUACACUUGAUUAAAAGAUUAACCCAUCGAAUACAUCUAAAUCCCAAAGCAAAGUAUUCACUUUCGAGCUGUAAGCCAUUACCUUCAAUCCAGUAGUAGGAAUUCCCCGCCUUCAAAACGUUGACGAAUGAUAAACAGCCUUUGAUAAACCCCUAAUCACUAAAAGAAUCCUUAUCAAUACUUGACCACAUCCUAGUUUAAAGUGUACUCAAAACUAAACUUACCGAGAUGGUGGAGAGGAUAAUGCGCAAAAAGAAAGAAGAAAUGAAAAGAAUCAAAAAGGGGGAAGAAGCAAGGCAAAGGUUCGGCUAGGGAAAGAAAAAGGGAAAACGUCAAGAGACUUUCAGUAAGAAGGGGAGAAACCAAAAAUUGGGAAGAAACAAACUCUACCUUAUUUAACUUACCAGACAAACGGCCACACAGUUUGCAACACAAAACAAAUUGAAGCAAGGGAAAGGCAAAAUGAAAAAGUCAAAGGUAGGGGAAAGGAGAAGCAGAAUUCGACAGAAGGGGAGCAAAGAGAGAAAACAACAGAGGUUUUUGGGAAAAGGGAAAAAUUUCGGUAAGGGAAAAAAAUGAAAAUUAAAAAGUGAUGCGGUCGUUGAGAGCACCAAAAAUAUCAUGUUCCCUAUAAAAUAGUAAAAAUAACAGUAAAGGGGAAGUAGGGUUAAAUCUUCAGGGACCGAAUUGUAUGAAUGCUCGUUUCUUAAAAUCCUGGACAAUUUCUUGGCCAAGAAAACCUGCGUUCCUGAAAAAUAAAAAAAUAGAAUUAAGAAUCUAGAAAAAUAAAAACAGAAUUUAAAGUGAAUUGAAAUUGCGAAAUUAAAUAAAUUGCAGAAAUUAAAAUGAGGAAGAUAAAAAUAAAUAGAGUUGGGAAAAGAGAAAGUUUCUUAUGUGGCGAGAUUCCAGCCUCCGAUUGUCUCGUUUCGCCUUGGGUUCAAUCCUUGGCUUUUAAGUAACCCUUCUCAAGUAGGAUAAGCCAGUUAUAGUGGAAGAGGACGCCUACGACCACCAGCUCCAAGGAUUUGGACUUACGAUUUGGCAGAGCCUGACUCUAGCCAAUAAUCGCUUUUGUGGGACUAUCUUCUGCUAGAUCACCUCUUCCCAACGGCAAAUACCAUGCCGUCUUUUCUCUUGGAUUCGCCAACCUUUGACGCAGAAAACCAAUGAACCGACUGUGCAACCUUUCUAAAACGUACAAAGCGGCCGUUCCUUGCACAAGUUGAAAAGAUUACCUAUUAAGGGACAUGGACGGAAGCGUCAGUGUCGUAAUGCGGAGAAGCGAUGAAUACCCUGCUAAGAAGGCUAAGUGCAAAUUCUAGGCCUCAUGAACCUUUUUGGGAAAUUUUGACAACCUUCGGCUAGAUUGGUUUAGUAGCUCAUGGUUUUUGGGAAAGAAAUAAAUAUAAUAGAAGUGAGAUUUUUAUUGAAGAAAAUAUGGAGAGAACAAAAAGACAGAGUUUUUUGGGAGAGGGAGUGAUUACAGAAAAAAAAAGAUUUCCAAUAUGUGCCACUCCAUCCCCUAUUUAUAGUAUUAGAAAACCUAGUCUAUUCCUAAUGAAAUUCUAAAAGAUAAAUACAAAUAAAUAAAGAUAAAUAAAGAUAAAUGAAAAUAAAUCCUAAAAUUAAAUCUAAAUAAAAAUCCUUAAUAAUUAGCCUAAUAUAAUUGAAAUUAAAAUAGAGUCUUCUGCUACAAAAUCUUUUUUUUUUUUGCAUUUUAGUCCUUGGGUCUUCCAUGUUUGCAUUUUUGGCACCGCUUCUCUCUUUCUUUGCAUGUUGGCCCAUUAUAUCUUCAAAUUUGCACUUUUUACCCUUAAAUUUCCUCUUGUCUCUGAUUUUGUCCCUAAAAGAUAAAAAACCACAAAAUAAUCCAAACUAGUAGGAUCAUACUCAAAAUAAUCAUGCAAUUAGCACAUAAAAUAUGUCGUUCUAGAGUAUUAUCAAAAAGAUUUCCUAAUAACCCCCCUAAAUUCUCCUCAGAUUUAUCUAAACCAACUCCCCACUCCUUACUUUUCUCCCCAUAUCCCUAAUUUCCCUCCUAAACCGUCUAUCACACUCCUAUUAACCCUCAAAAUCCCCCAAACCGUCCACCAUAAUCUCCUCAACAACUGAAUUCAACCCUCACUCAAACACUGCAGUAUUUCGGCUAAACCAAAACACCCAUACGACACAUCAGCAAAAUAAAUCCCUUGUUUGCACAAAGACUCGAACUUCAGACCUCCUGCUCCUUUGCUCUCCACUUAACCACCAAACCAGCAGGCCCAUUCUGACAUAUUUUACCCACAUUUAAUUAUAAGCCUACUGAUCAGAUAUAGGGCUUUAUUCAUAAAAAUACCAAAAUUUUCCCAAGUCAUGGCUUGAACUUGGGACCUCACACACACACAUAGAGUACUUAACCACAAAAGCAGACAAUUAUUUGUGUCACAAACACAUGAAAAUAAAUAUAAGAGAUUUUUGGGGUGUUACACCAAUGGUGUGCCAUCAUUCUAAUAUCUACAAUCAAUCCACUUUCCAAAAAAAAUUGUUGGUAGUUGGUGGAGGUUCAACGACAACAGACACCUUUACCUGUCCAUCACAACUUGUGCAGGUAAUGAAGAUACCCAUAAAAUAAAUCUACAAAUUGAAAAUAGAGAAGGCACAUAGAGUGAAUGAGGAGAAAAAAAGAAGCAAAAGGUUGGUGGGAGGAAGAAAAAGGCGGGUGGUAAUUAGCUCAAAAACUAGCAACACUUAUUGGAAAAAUCUAGUUUAGAAAAAUAGUUUUCAGUCACAGUGAAAAAUUAAAAUUUUGAAUAUAAUCAUGAAUAUCAAGCAUGAAUAUAACCAUUUCCAACCACAUAGCAAUCAAUAGCCAAAGAUCACUUAUACACUUCAUAACCAACUAGCCUAUACAUGCCAUAUAACCAAAUUCUCAAAGUUUAUAAGUACCAAAACGAUCAUUGAAUAGUGUGAUGAAAUCUCCAACGACUUCCAACCUGAGCAAGCCUCUGAAACUCUAUAAACAUAAGAAAGAAAGCAAAGUAAGCUAUAAAGCUUAGUAAGCUCGUAUGAUAAUAAACUCAACUUAUCAAAUAAACACAUACUAAGCAUUUACAUAUGUUAUAAUGUUACUCAUAUGUUUUGACCUUUAUACUAUGAAUCCAUUCACAUAGUUAACCGAGAGAUUCACAAGUUUAUUCAUUUCAAUUUUCAUAUGGAUCAAGCACUUUCUUACCAAUUCAUUCACAUUUACAUAUACAUAAGCAAUUCAAGAUAUUUCACAUUCAAUCCAAUAUUUAUUACAUAUUCAUAAUCAAUAAAACCAUAUGAAUUCUCAUAAUUUUCCACUUACUCAUCAUAUGAAAUUUAAUACUAUCACUUACUUGUCGAUUUCUAUCACAAGUACCUUGACUGAGUCAUACCAUCACUUGUAACCACGUUUUAUCAAAUUUUCCCAUUGAACCAUUUGGAAUUACUAAAGGAUGCUCAGGAAUCUAGUACACAUAGUACCAUACCAAUGCCAUAUCCUAGAUAUGGUCUUACAUGUAAUCUUGUAUCGAUGCCAAUAGCCCAGCUAUGGUCUUACACGAAAUCUCAUACCGAUGCCAUAUCCCAAAUAUGGUCUUACACGUAAUCUCAAUAACCUUAAUGUCAUGACAUUUGUAUCCUAUCUAUUCCUAAGGUUCAACAGGGACUUUUACUUUGUCGAAUCUCCGUCAAACAUUUUCGAAGCAUUGUAUUCACAAUUAAAUUCAAUAUUAAAGUAUCCACCAUAAUUAUAUCAAUUAAGCAUUUAUCAUAUAUAAUUUAAUGCUUAUUAAACAUACGAACUUACCUCGUUCACUGAAACUACGAAUUAUGUCGACUAAUCCAAUACUUUAUUUUCCCCCAUUCUAGAUCCAAAUCUCGUUUUUCUCAAUCUAUAUAAUAUCAAAUUUUACUUAUUUAAUCAACAAAUCAUUCAAUUUAAUCCAAAAUUCACAUUAAGGUAAUUUUACACAUUUACCCCUAAACUUUCACAUUUUUAUAAUUUAGUCAUUAUCACAUAAUAUCACAAUUUCAUGCAAUUAAGCCCUUACCCAAGCAUCCUUAACAUCCCAUAUUUAUAAUUUAUUUAACAUUUUAGCCACAUAAUUUUAAUAAUUCACCAUUUAGUCCCUAUUUUGCAUUUUUCCUCAAAAUUGCUUAAUAAAACUUGUAAAACUAACAACAAAGUUUCAUAAUCCAUCAUCAAAUAUCAAUUAACACAUAUAUUCAACAAUGGAAACUAUCAAAAUCUUUAACAGUUUCGAAAUCGGAGGCAUGGGCUAGCUAGAUUACGAAGCAACGAUCUCCAAAAACGUAGAAAUUAUUAAAAACCGAGCAAAAACCACUCACCAAUUGAGCUUCAAAGCUUGGCCGAAUACUCAAGCUUCCAUGGUUGUUCUUUCUUUUCAUUUUCGGUGGAAGAAAGAUAGGAAAAAGAUGAUAGCCAUUCAUUUUUAUUAUUUUACUAACUUUAAUUAUUAUAUUACUAUUAUAACCUUUAAUUAUAACAAUAAAAUUCAUCUAACCCAUGACCAAUAUUGUCCACUCAUAAUUCAAUUAGUCUAAUUUCCAUGCAAGUGCUCAUCAUUUCAUUUCUAUAUUCAUUUGGCUCAUUUAACUAAUAGAACUCAUAUUUUACGCUUUACGCAAUUUAGUCCUUUUUAUCAAAUUGAGCACUCACACAAUAAAAUUUCUUUGGAAAAUUUCACACAACUCUAAUAUUAUACUAUAGAUAUUAAAAUAAUAAUAAAAUAAUUUUUUUAAAGUCAAAUUUAUGGUCCCGAAACUAUUGUUCCGAUUUAACUUAAAACGGGCUGUUAGAUCUGCUUUACUUGACAACAUCCUAACCUGACAUAAUAUUCGUUGUAAGUCUGUUGUCAAGAUACAUGCAUUGUUGCAAUGUGAACCACUACAUAAUAGCAAAAGGGUUCUACGAUGCAUAAAAGGAACUCUUAGCCAUGGAGUGAAGUUUUUAAAAACUGAAAAGGUCAAACUACUUGUGUAUUCAAACAAUAAUUGGGUUGGGUCUAAUGAAGACAUGAAGAGUACCUUGAUCACCUCCAGACAUACCAACAUCUAGAGUAGAUAUCCUGCACAAACGAUAUGAAAAAGCAGUAUCCGCAAGUAUACGGGUCAAGUUGUAAUAUAGUUAAAAUGGAGUAGGUAAGUACUCAGAGGAUCGUACCCAAGGGAGGCGAGCACUAAAUUAAUUCUACUCUAAAUUAAUUAAUAAUUUAAUUGAAUUAUAGUACGAAGAAAUAAAUAAGGUUUUGGAUAAUUAAAAUAAAAAUAAUAAGAAAAGAAAUAAAAUUAAAUAAAUAAAAAGCAAGAAAUUAAAUAAGAAAAAAUAUAUCAAAUCUAGGCAUGGGUGAUUGGCUUGCUUUGGUAAUUGUAAUCAACUAUCGUCUCGGGUUUUCACGUUCAGUCAACUAGUCAAUACCCUAGCAGGAUCUUCCGAUAUGUUCACUGAAAUACUAAGUCGGUAAGAACUACUCAUCUUCCGACCUCACAGUCCAGACCGGUUCAGGGUUAAGGUGUUCAUGAACAAGCCAGACCAACUUUGGGUUAAUUUCCACCUUGAUGACUUCCUAGGGUUGUUAAGCCUAAGGUUUAGAUUCUUCCUUUCUUGAACAGUUGAUUUGUUAAGAAAUCCCUACAAAACAAUUUCAACAAUAGAGUUUCAAAACAAUAAUAAAAAAAUCCAUAGUUUAAUUACUAAUGGUAUAAUCUACCUAAAAAAAGUCUUCAAAAAUAAACCUGAAAGUUGUGCGAAAAUUCGGGGUAGAACUUUAAAAUUUUGACUUGGACCACAACAAUACCACUUCCAAUCAUCCACUCACCAAAUUAAUUUCAAUUUUGAAUUUAAUCAAAAUAAAACCCACCUUAAUUUGGUGUUCAAAUUUGCAAAUUUAAAAAAUAACCAAUAUAUAAAAAUAAAAAAAAUCAACAUUUUCCCUUAUGGUUUAAAAUUUUGUUCUAACCCCAAAAAUCUAGAUGAGAUUUAAUUUAGCCCCUAAUUUAAAACCAAACUUUUAAUUUUAAUUCUAAAAUCAAAUUAGGGUUUAACUUGGGCAUGUUUGAUAAUCAACUGAAAAAAAAAGUCAUCUAAUGCAUAAUAUUUUUAGUCACUUAAUUUUCGAUAAUCUAUAAUAAAAAAAAUAAAAUAUAGACUUUCUUUUAAUAAUGAAGUAUGAAAAAUGAUAAGUAGACAAAAGAGUCACUUAUCACCUCAUGUAGAAUAUUUUAUCUUAUUUUAUUUCUUUUAACAUUAUCUUUUAAAUAUUUUACCUUCAAAUUUUCAGAAAUUUCAUUUAUCUCACAAAUUCUACAUAUUCGUUUUACGAUCUAUAUUCAGAGUUCAAGAACACUCUUUCAGCAAUGUUGUCUCUAAGAUUGAACAUGUAUUCUCUAUUGAGAGUAAAAAAUAUCUUACAAUUGCACCUAAUACUUGUUAAUAUAUACCAAACAUGUUUUAUAACUUAAAUUCAAUACUUAAUUUUGUAAUGCUUAAUUAUAUAACACUUUUUUGGUAUAUGUGAAACUCAUUCUUUUACUAAAAUAAAUGAGAGUAAUCAAAUAAAUUGAUUUUUAUGUAGAUUGAAGCACAAAGUUACAAGACUUAAAAUCCAUCAAGGGCUCCAUGUUAGAAGUGCGAGCAUAAUAUGCUUGCUUAAACCAACAUUAACUUACUUGGUCGAGGGUGUAAUAUGUUGAGUUUACUUUGGAGAAAUUCUGAAUAUGGUUAAUGGUUUCGAGGAAUGCUAAUUGUGAAGACAAUAAUGAUUUCCGCGUGGGUCAUAGGCUUCUCAUGGCUCAAACCAAAAUAUACAAGACCUUGACUUCCAAAGCAAUAUACUUGCUUAAAUUGACUUCUAUCUUCAUCUUUAUUCAAGCACCAAUUUCUUUAAAAAAAAAAUUAAUCUCACUAAAAUUGAAAAGAAAAAUUCAUUAAUUCAUUCCAUGAAUGGGAUCAUAUAAUUCGGAAAAAAGAAAAAGAAUCAACAAAUACUUGUCGGCAGUGAAGAACAAGCUCUAACAAGACAACAAAAGCUUUAGUCUUAGUAUCAAUAAAAUAUUAUGACACGCUGGUAAUCAGCUUUAUCACAACCCAGCAUCAAUAGGAAAAAUAAUAAUUUUUCUAUUUUUUAAAUAAUUCCGAUUUUUUUAAUAGGUAUGAUAAUAAUAAUUUGAUUUAAUCCCAUCUUAUUUCUAUUUUUUAGUCACUCACCAAACUAAUUUCAAUUUUGAAUUUAAUCAAAAUAAAAUAAAUUUGAUUUAAUCCGUCUUAAUUUCGUGUUUAAAUUUGCAAAUUAAAAACAAUAACUCUAAAUUUGAAAUUAAAAAAAAAUCAAUUUGGCCCCUUAAAGGUUUAAAAUUCUGUUCCAAUCCUAAAAAUCAAUAUGAGAUUUAAUUUAAACCAUGAUUUAGAACCAAACUUUUAAUUCUAAUUCUAAAAUUAAGUUAAAAUUUAACUUAUUUCUAAAAUUAUAUUAAAAUGUGGAUUCUGUUUAAAGAGGUCAUUUAAACCAUAUUCAACAAAAUUAAAACCUAACAACCUCGAAAUUGAAAUGCACGAAAACAAUGGAAAUCAAAUAAUUUUUUUAUUUAAUGUAAUUUUAGAUAGUUAAUAUGGGAACUAAAUUUGAUUUUAUAAUGUAACUCAUUUUGUGAUUUGAUUACUUUAAUCAAAUAAGUACUCUGUUGUGAAGAAGCUAAUUAAUUAAAUUAAAUUAAGUUAUAUUUAAUUUUAAAAAAUAUUUCUAUUGAUAUUUAUAUAUGUUAUUUAUUAGAUUGUAUAAAUUUUAACUAAAAUUAAAUAUUAAUCUUGAUUAUUAAAACAUAGUUCUAAUUAUUAAAAGUCAUGUCUUUCAACCAAAAAUUUUAAAUAUUUUAUAGGAAAAAAAGAAAGCAACUAUGAAUAACAAUGUCGUGCCUUGUUGAAGAUUUAUUCUAUUUAUCACUUUCCAUUGGUUCCUAUAUUAUUACAUCAACUUCAAAUCAUUUAUUUAUUUGUGAUUUUCAUCGCUCAUAAAAUCUCAUGAUUCUUAAGCUCGAUCAAUGAUAUUUCGUGAAGAGGCAUUGUAAUUGGAGACUUGAUGUGUAGGAAUUCUUGAGACACUAAUUUCAUUGUUGGUCAAGCUUUGGGUCUAGGUCGUAAGCAUGCAAAAGCAAUGACAGCAAUAAAAGCAAUGUCUCCUGCCAUUUUUUGACUUCUCGGGGUUGAUAAUCGAGGGUCCAAAAUUUCAUUUAGCAUGAAAUUUUGGACACGAGACAAUGAUGAUGAUAGUAUUGACAACAAUUCACCAGGAUGCUUUCCCAUCAAUACUUCCAACGCUAGCACUCCAAAACUAUAAACAUCACAUUUUUUGGUCAUGAGUCAUGACCAACGAAUAAGCAAGUUCUGUAAUUACAACAACAAAAAUAAUUAAAUACAUGUUAAUUUAUAUUUUGUAAUCAGCAUGUAUGUUUGCAUUUGAAUCCUCCAAUCUAGAAUUAAUUUUUUAUUUAUUUAUAUUUGAUAUUUCUUAAUUUUGUUUUUCCUAAUUGUUUCCCUCAUUAUUCUAAUUUGUAAUUCGCAACAAAUAAGCAGCAGAAACUAAAUAAAAAGGAAAAGAAGAGAGUGAAGGUGCAGAACCUGGGGCAAUAUAUCCAUACGUCCCAACAAUUACAGUUCGAUUAGAUGAAUCAGGAUCAAGAAGUCUUGCAGUCCCAAAGUCAGCAAUAACAGCUUCCAAUUCAGAGUUCAACAAAAUGUUAUUGCUUGAGAUGUCUCGAUGAACAAUUGGAGGGUUGCAAUCAUGAUGCAUGUAAGAUAGAGCAUGUGCGACACCUUUGACAAUGUUCACUCUUUUGGUCCAAUCCAAUUCCACAGCUUCCUCAUCAAUGCUCAAGGCAUAAAACAAGCUUCCCUUUUCCAUAUAUUCAUAAAUCAAGAACAUGCAACGGUUGUGGAGACAAAAUCCGUGGAGCUUGACGAUGUUCUUGUGUCGUAUUUCUGUUAAAAACUUGAUCUCAUUUCGGAAACUUGUGUCGUAAGCCGGUUGCUCCGCUUCCAAUCGGUGGAGUUUUUUUAAGGCAACAACUUUGCCAUUUGGUAAGACUGCUCUGUAAACACUGCCAUAACCACCCGUUCCAAUGCAAUAUUUGAUAUCAAAAUCCUCCGUUGCUCUGAUGAUGUCUUCAAAUGCAAUCUUUCCAUCAAAAUUCCAAAUACAAAAUAAAUCUCCAUUUUUGGUUGGACUUGGAAUAUGUUUCAAAGCUUCAGCUCUAUAUUAUCGGCAAAGGAUGAAUAUCAGCAAUGCAAAGUAUGAGAUAAGAAACAACACUGUCAGGACAAGAAUAAUGACGCCCAGAUUGUGAUUCGUUGAAGGGCAAGGAAGGAAGCCUUGAAAGGAACCACAUAAAUACUUGUUAUCAUAGAGAGCGACAGAUGUUAACUGGCCGAGAGAGGAAGGGAUGUGACCUGAAAGCCAAUUGGAGGAUAGAUUCAAAUUAAUCAAAUUUGUUAGUCUCCCAAUAUCUUCUGGAAUGGGUUCACUAAGUUGGUUACUUUGAAGGAACAACGAGUUAAGAUUGGUUAAGUUGCUGACAGAAGAUGGUAUUAGACCAACAAGACUAUUGGAGGAUAGAUCCAAUUCAAGCAAAUUCGUUAGUCUCCCAAUAUCUUCUGGAAUAGAUUCAUUAAGUUGGUUGAUUUGAAGGAACAACGAGGUAAGAUUGGUUAAGUUGCUGACAGAAGAUGGUAUUGGACCAACAAGACUAUUGGAGGAUAGAUCCAAUUCAACCAAAUUCGUUAGUCUCCCAAUUUCUUGUGGAAUGGAUCCAUUAAGUUGGUUGCUUUGAAGGUCCAACGAGGCAAGAUUGGUUAAGUUGCUGACAGAAGAUGGGAUUGGACCAACAAGCCUAUUGUAGGAUAGAUCGAAUGCAACCAAAUUCGUUAAUCUCCCAAUUUCUUGUGGAAUGGAUCCAUCAAGUUGGUUGCUUUGAAGGUCCAACGAGGCAAGAUUGGUUAAGUUGCUGACAGAAGAUGGGAUUGGACCAACAAGCCUAUUGUCGGAUAGAUCGAAUGCAACCAAAUUCGUUAGUCUCCCAAUUUCUUGUGGAAUGGAUCCACUAAGUUGGUUGCUUUGAAGGUCCAACGAGGUAAGAUUGGUUAAGUUGCUGACCGAAGAUGGUAUUGGACCAACAAGACUAUUGGAGGAUAGAUCCAAUUCAACCAAAUUCGUUAGUCUCCCAAUAUCUUCUGGAAUGGAUCCAUUAAGUUGGUUGCUUUGAAGGUACAACGAGGCAAGAUUGGUUAAGUAGCUGACAGAAGAUGGGAUUGGACCAACAAGCCUAUUGGAGGAUAGAUCUAAUGCAACCAAAUUCUUUAGUCUCCCAAUUUCUUGUGGAAUGGAUCCAUUAAGUUUGUUGCUUUGAAGGUACAACGAGGCAAGAUUGGUUAAGUUGCUGACAGAAGAUGAGAUUGGACCAACAAGCCUAUUGGAGGAUAGAUCUAAUGCAACCAAAUUCCUUAAGUCUCCAAAUUUCUUGUGGAAUGGAUCCAAUAAGUUGGUUGCUUUGAAGGUACAACGAGGCAAGAUUCGUUAAGUUGCUGAAAGAAGAUGGGAUUGGACCAAUAAGCCCGUUGUUUGAGAGAUCAAGAUCAACCAUACUCUCUAGCUUUCCAAUAUUUGGUGGAAUAUUGGAAUAAAUAUAAUUACAAGAAACAUCAAGCACUGCCAAUUGAGUGAGGUUUCCAAUUGAAGAAGGUAACUCACCUGUAAGGAUAUUCCAAGACAGGUUGAGGUACCUGAGCUUUGAAAGUGCUCCUAUUUGAGGUGUUAUGCUCCCAUUCAGACCAUGGCCACUAAGAUCAAUAUCGACGACACUUCCAGCAUUGCAUCGAAUACCAGGCCACAUACAAUGGUUUCCAACUCUCUUUUUAUAAUUACUCCACCACCCUGUUUCCAUCAAGGCUUGUGCCUCUGCUGCCAGCCAUUUAGAAUCAUCGUUCGUUGCUCUUGUAAUUCCACUAGUGAUCACAAUUAUAGAGAGUAAAAAGAAGGUAGGGAUAGAAGUGUAAAAGUAGGAUUUCAUAGCUAUGAAGUUGAGGACUCCAAUUCUCAAACUUGAGCUUAUUUAAAUACAUAUAAAACAGAUUUAAGUUUAUUGGAUAUAUAUUAAUUUCAAAGUCUUUAGGCAUUGUCUAACACAGAUUGAUUAAUAUUAUGUUAAGGACUUGUCUUCGUCUCUUAGAAGUAAACUGGAAGUUAUAGCAAAUGUUGUGUCUUUCUUUGUUGAAGCUUCUAAGAAGGUGAUAAUUGAAUAAAAUGCGAUGCUUUUUUUAUUUUACUAAUACCACUCCAUAAAGCGAUGUCAGAUUGGACCAACCAAUUUGUUCGUUGAUAUAUUUAAACUCACAGGAUUUUUCAAAUUUCCAACAACUGCUGGCAUAGGACCUGUAAUUAAAUCAUAAAGGAGUAUAUCAUAUAAUAUUCAACUUUAGGUUAUAUAUAAAUAAAAGGGAUAUAUAUACAUACUAUUCUAUCUUAGAAAAUAUUUUUUCAAAUUUAGUAAUGCGUUGAAAUUAUAUAUUCCAGUUCGACAAGAAAAGUUAGUAAUGCGUUGCUUCCACAUGCUAUCAUCUCUCUUAAUUAUUUACUAUUGAUGCCCUGAAAAAAACUUGUAGAACAACUAAAAACCAUGUCCAUAAGAGAUCAAUCGACCAUUAUUGACUUGAAAGUUCAAAGUCUUUACUAGUCUUUACCUAACAUUUCCCUACAUGUUUAUAUUGAUGGGUCCAGAAAUAGCAAUGCUUGACAAAACAUUUUCCCUAUUAUUUUACUUAUAGAGUAAAAUACAAGAAUAAUCAUUCAAUUAUUCAAUUCUUACUAUUUUAGUCACUCAAUUGUUAAUUUUUUUUAUAUUUUUAAUUAUUUAAAUUUUUAGAAUUAAAUAUUUUAAUCACUCUUGUAUUGAUUGUCCAACGAAAACGCGAGCAAUGCUAUGUGCUAGACUGAAAAAAUUGAUAACACUGUAUAUAAUCUAAUAUAUGUCACGCACUACAAAAUUUAAUUGAUAAUCCUAAAAAAAAUGCACAAAAUCCCAAACGUUGGUUUUUGCGUGGGUCAUACGCUAAAAUCACGCAAAAACCAACGUUAAAAGUUGUAAUUAAUUUUUUAAAAUUAAAUUAAUAAUAUUUUUUAGUUGAAUUUUAUGCUUGAAGAGCUAAUAUUAUAAAGACUUAUAAAAUCGACUCUUAUAUUAUUUUUAGAAAAAUAUUACUAAAUAUACUAUAAAAUUUUAUUUUUUAGACUUAAUUCAAAAUUUUCAGUUCAUUUUUAUUCUCAAAAUCUAAAUUGUAAAAGUAAAUUAUAUUCUUAAUUUUUUAAUUUCUUAUAAUAAAAAAGUCAUGUCAAGAAAAGAAGAGGUAAAAAGUAGAGAACCAAUAAUUUUGAUUAAUAUUUUUAUUUUUUCUAUACUAUUUUAAAGAAUGAGUGUCGAAACCCUUUUUUACUUGCGUUUUGAAAAUCAGGGUUCGACUUUUGAAAAAUAAAAACGGGAGUCGCCACCAAUCUUUUAAAGUGUGAUUGGAUCACUUUUACAAAAUGUUUUGGUCUACGAAAUUACGAGAAAAUAAGUUCGGGAGUCGGUUACGUUCGAGGAAAUUGGUACCAAAUUGAAUAAUUUUGUCUUAAUGUCAGAAUUUUGAAAGAAUAAUAUUUCCUUUAAACCGUGAUGUUUUGAGAGAAGAAUCAAGAUUUAUUCGUUUUAAAAUAGUAUAAACAUCACGUCCAACAUGAUUGAACAUGAUAUCUUUAAUCUUUCGUAACCGAAGUCAUCUCGUGAUUUAUAAAACUUGUUUAAAAGGGUAUUAUAAAUAUUUAGACAAACGAAAAAUUGCAACCCAGCAUGUUAGGGCACUAUUUCUCGAAUUUCUAAGUAUUCAAAACAUUGCCUUGCUUCUUUUUAAAAAAUUCCUUUUAAUGACUUUGAGUUUUAAAAAUAAUGAUAUGUUUCACAUAUUAAGAGAUUAAAUACAAUACAUAUAUAUGCUUUAUUAUUCCAUGCAAAUAUAGUAAAGGUGACAAUAAAAGAUAGCAUAAAUUACACAACAUACAAUAUCAUUUUACACAUACACCAUCAUAAUGUUCAUGCACUAUUGUUCCACACAAAAUAUCAUACAACACAUAAAUACAACAAGUAUAAAUUACAGUAUACACAUGAUAAUAUCUUAUACUAACCACCAAAAAUGAUUAACCUUAUGGAAAUAUACGAAAAGAAAUAUUAUAUAAAAUUUAACCUAUUAAAACUAUAUAAAAAAAAUAAAAGAGAAUAAAUAAACAAAUUAAAUGUAUAAAAAAAAGUUAGCUAUUUAGAAAUAUAUUAAAGAACAAUAAAAAGAAACCCCCUUUUUCAAAAUAUAUAUACAAAUUAUAUUAUAAGGUAUAAUAACUUAGUAUAUAAGAAAAAUAGUAUAUUAGAUGUUGUUAUUCUUUUUAAAAAAUAUAUAUAUAUAAUUAAUAAGUAAUAAUGUGUGCUUUAGGAUAAAGGUAAUAAAAUAUAAUUUACAUAUAAAAAUAUGUAAUAAUAUAAAUCAUAUAAUAAUAAAAUAUAUGUAAUAAAAUAUAUAAUAUAAUAUAAAAAGAAUAAUAUUAAUAAUCUAAUGGGUAUUUCAUAUAAAAAUAUAGUAAAAUAAUUGAUACAUAUAAGAAAAUGCAUAGUAUUUACUAAUUUUAUAAAUAAAAUAUAUAAUAAUAUGAAUAAUAUAAUAUAUAAUAUAUAAAAAUACUAUGUACUAAAACAUAUAAUAUAAAUGUAAAUAAUAUAUACAUAUAAAAGUAUAUGAAAAAUUAAAAAUAUAUAAUAAUAUAAUAGAUAAAAUAUAAUAAAAUAAAUAAUAUAUAUAAUGAAAAUACAUAUAAUAUAUAGUAAAAUACAAUAUAAAAUAAAAUAUAUAUAAAAAUAUAUGAUAAAAAAUAUAUUAGAUAAUAAAAAAUAAUAUAUACACUAUUUUAUAAUAAACAUUAAAAGUAUAUAUGUAAAAAAAUCUAUUUAAUUGAAAAUUCCGGGGUUAAUUUGUAAAAAUAAUAAAAAUUUUGGAUUUAAUUAAAACAUAUGCUAAAACUGAAGGACUUAUUGGGUAAUUAAACCCUAAUCCCAAAACGGCAUCGUUCUCUGGAACUGAUUUUUAAAAAAAAACGCUAGGAUUAAAUUGAAAAAACUAUAAAAUAUUGGGGUUAAAUUCGAAUAACGCUAAAAUGAAAUUAAAAUAUUCGAAAACAUGGAAGGGUCAAUUGGGUAAUUUUCCCAUUUAUCAAAAACACACGGAUCCUCCCCGGGUAAUCGGGUCAACGCGCGGAUCUUCCAUUUGAAACGACGCCCGUUUAAAUGCUUAUUGAAUUAAGCCAAACGACGUCGUAUUUCAAGGGCUAUAUAAGCCAAAACUUAGCCCGAAAUUUCAUUUGUAAGCCUGCUUUUUUUUUAAAAAAAAGGAAACUCUCUGAAAGAGAGUUAAGGGCAGACCCUCGGAGCGCUGUAAUGUCUUCGUCAUCGGGUCCCCUACACGCCUACGCGCCACCACACAUGGUGGUCGGAAGGUAAAGAAAAACUUCUCCUUUUUAGCGAAAAUCAGGUAAUCUCUUUUCCUUUUACUAUUUGUAAUAAAAAAAAUCACCUUUGUACUUGAGUAGCUACUGGUUCUGUAAAUUAGUAACACUGUAUUUUGUCGGAUUUGUGUGUAUAUUUCUCCUCUGGUAAAUUGUGUGUAUCUUAUUCUUUGUAAAAAACUCACCCUACAAAUUAGAAAAAGACGGGUUUUUAUAACCCUUUGUAAGUGAUUUACAAUCUAGGAAAGAAAUCCUUUGAUUUCUUUCUAUAUUUUGCCUCUAUUUUCUGUUGUGUUUUUUUUUUAUUUUGUAGAUGUCUCGCGAGGAAAUCAGCGAAUCAGGGUGAUCAGGCCCUGAUGGCUUCGGUGCUGGCGCUGAUCUGCUUUCAUUUGGCUUCAACCACAGCCAAAUUCGAGGUCGGGAAUCGCGGCGUCGAUUGGGGCAGAUGGAACGACAGAAGUUGAAGGGGCGUGACUGAUGGGGUGAUUACAGCGCAAAGCAUCUGAAACCCUAGGGUUUCCAGAUUCUGUUUAGGCAUUGGGCCUCAUUUAGGUUGGGUAAAUUUUGGGCCAAAGGUUUAGGCUAACUGGGUUGUAACCGGGUGCUGGGUUUUGGUAUUUGGGCCUUUGUAAACUGGACUGUAAUGGACUAUUUAUUUAUCCAAUUUUAGCCCGGUCAAAUUUGGGCUACUACAAUGAGUAUUGAAUAUUUCUAUACAGAUAAUACAAAGAUUAAUUUUGAAGAAUUUAAAAAUAACUUUCCCCAAUUUUCUCUCACUCUAAUUUUUUUUAUUUUUGAUUCACUUUUAUAUGAUUUUUUAUUUUUUGAAUUUUCUAAUUAUUUUAAAACAAUUUCAAUUUUAAUCAUUUUAAAUAUAAUCAGGAUCAAAUUGAUAGAAAACAUAAAAUCUGACCAUUAAAUUAUUAUUAUACAAAUUAAAAUAACCAACCUUUGACAACAAAAAAAACCCUAAACUCCAAACAUAGUUUAUAACUACUUAAUUUUCUAAUGCUUAAUUAUAUAACACUUUUUGGUAUAUGUGAAACUCAUUUUCUACUAACUACUUAAAUGAGAGUAAUCAAAUAAAUUGAUUUUUAUGUAGAUUGGAGCACAAAGUUAGAAGACUUAAAUUCCAUCAACGGCUCCAUGUUAGAAGUGCGAGCAUAAUUUGCAUGCUUUAAACCAACGUUGACUUACUUCGUGGAGAAUGUAAUAUGUUGACAAUAAUGGUUAAUGGUUUCUAUCAAGUUUCGAGGAAUAUUGCUUAUGAAGACAAUAAUGGUUUCCGCGUGGGUCAUAGGCUUUUCAUGGCAACCCGUAACGACUGGGCUCAAAUCAAAAUAUACAAGGAAGACCUUGACUUCCUAAGCAAUACUGAUACGAACCGUCUCGGGAAGAGUCGAGUCGUAUGUAGAUUGCCCGAUCGUCUACGAGAAGUUACGUUAGGAUUAGUUGAGUUGAAGGUAUAGUCUGAGUAGAAAGAGGGGUACGAAUGGAAUGGUAGGAACGAAAGGGUAGGAACAAAAUGGUAUGAACAAAUUGGUCGGUUUAGGUUCGAUUAGGUAAAGAAGAAAGAACGGGUUUGAACUACUAAAGGUACUUUCAAGAACCAAAUACCGAAAUGGUAUCGACCCGUUGAUUUAGCCUUUUGAGUUCUGUUAUAGGUUUGGUAAGGGAAACCUCGACCCACUAUCUAACAAGAUAGGAACCUCGGUAUGUUGAACGCCACACUACGAAUAGUGAUAAGUUCGGGUACGACAAAGAACACGGUUGACACAACUAGAAUGCAAGGAACGCCAAACGAAUCUUUGAACGAAAUAUAAGUAAAGUCAGAGACAUUAAAACUAGCACUAACAUUGUACUCACCUGGUAAGUCAAGCUUAUACGAAUUUUCAUUGAUUCGCUCGAUGACUUGGAAGGGGCUGUCUCCUCCCGGCAACAACUUAGAUCUUCGUUGAGCCGGAAACCUUUCUUUUCUCAUGUGCACCCAGACCCAGUCUCCGGGUUCAAAUACUACUCGUUUUCGUCCUUUGUUGGCUCGUUGGACGUAUUGCUCGGUUCGAGAUUCAAUAUUCUCUUCGACUUUCCUAUGUAAUUCCUUGACAAAUUCAGCCUUUUUCCUUGCAUCUGUAUAGACAAAUUGAUCAACAGGAAAAGGUAAUAAAUCAAGAGGAGUAAGAGGAUUAAAUCCAUAGACAGUCUCAAAAGGAGAAAAUUUGGUUGCCGAGUGAACAGAGCGAUUAUAAGCGAACUCGAUGUGGGGUAAGCAUUCUUCCCACGUCUUGAGGUUCUUUCGUACCAACGCUCGCAACAAAGUUGACAAAACUCGGUUUACCACCUCGGUUUGGCCAUCCGUUUGAUGAUGACAAGUGGUUGAAAAUAAUAACUCGUCCCAAGUUUUCCCCAUAAUGUCCGCCAAAAGUGACUCAAGAACUUUGUAUCUCGAUCGGAAACAAUCGUUCUUGGUAAUCCAUGCAGUCGUACAAUUUCCCUAAAAAACAAAUUAGCAAUAUGCACAGCGUCAUCAGUUUUAGCGCAAGAAAUAAAAUGUGCCAUUUUAGAGAAUCUAUCGACUACAACAAAGAUUGAGUCCUUCCCUGUCUUAGUUUUCGGUAAUCCAAGAAUAAAAUCCAUAGAGACAUUGGUCCACGGGGUGUCGGGAAUGGAAAGUGGUGUGUAAAGUCCAUGAGGUUGGACCUUUGACUUAGCCCGUUUACAAAUUAGGCAGCGUUCACAGAUCCGCUCCACGUCUCUCCGCAUUCGCGGCCAGUAAAAAUGUUCAUGGAGGGUCGACAAUGUCUUGCUUAUUCCAAAGUGUCCCAUCAGGCCACCAUUAUGCGCCUCCAACACAAGUAACUCUCGAAUGGAGCCUUGUGGUAUGCACAACAUAUUUUCUUUAAAAAGAAACCCUUCGUACCUAAAAAAUUUCUCAAAAGACCCAUUUUCACAAGCAGCAUAUAUAUUUCCAAAAUCCUCAUCAUUAGCAUACAACUCUUUCACAUGAUAAAAACCAAGUAACUUAGAAUCAAGAGUGGUCAAUAAGGUAUAUCUCCGUGACAAGGCAUCAGCCACUACAUUUUCUUUACCUUUCUUGUAUUUGAUGACGUAGGGAAAUGAUUCUAAAUACUCGACCCAUUUUGCAUGUCGUUUGUUGAGUUUAUGCUGACCUUUAAUAAACUUAAGUGCUUCAUGAUUGGAAUGAAUCACGAACUCCUUCGGUCUUAGAUAGUGCUGCCAAGUUUCAAGUGAUCGAAUCAAGGCAUACAUCUCUUUGUCGUACACCGGAUAAUUGAGGGAAGCGCCACUUAAUUUCUCGCUGAAGUACACCACCGGUCUUCCUUCUUGGGUCAACAUAGCCCCGAUCCCUACACCUGAAGCGUCACACUCAAUUUCAAAUGUUUUAGUAAAAUCUGGAAGGGACAAUGGAGGAGCUUUCACAAGACAUUCUUUAAUCAAAUUAAAUGAACGUUCUUGAUCUUCAGACCAGUGAAAUGUGGAGUUUUUCUUAAUCACGCUUGUUAAGGGUGCUGCAAUGGUACUAAAGUUGGGCACAAAUCGACGGUAGAAGCUAGCCAAUCCAUGGAAGCUUCGAACUUGGCUAAUGUUCGUCGGACGCGGCCAUUCUUGAAUCGCUUGAACUUUUUCUUGAUCCACCUCCAAACCGUUGGCACUCACGACAUAACCUAAAAACACAACUUUAUCAGUGCAAAAUGAACACUUUUUGAGAUUAGCAUACAAUACCUCUUUUCGUAAAGUUUCCAACACCGCUCGUAAAUGUGGUACGUGCUCCUCUAAAGUUUUGCUGUAGACCAAGAUAUCGUCAAAGUAUACAACACAAAAUUUACCAAUAAACGCACGUAAUACAUGGUUCAUCAAUCUCAAAAAAGUGCUGGGGGCAUUUGUAAGGCCGAAUGGCAUUACCAACCAUUCGUACAAACCCAAUAUCGUUUUGAAGGCCGUCUUCCAUUCAUCACCUUCUCGCAUUCGUAUUUGAUGAUAGCCACUUUUAAGAUCGAUUUUCGUGAAAAUCUGGGCUCCACUUAAUUCGUCAAGCAUGUCGUCAAGACGGGGUAUCGGGUGUCGAUACUUGAUAGUGAUUUUGUUGAUGGCGCGAUAGUUCACGCACAUCCGCUACGACCCAUCUUUCUUGGGUACAAGCAGCACCGGCACCGCACAGGGACUUAAGCUCUCUCGGAUGUAUCCUUUGUCUAGGAGUUCAGUAAUUUGCUUUUGCAAUUCCUUUGUUUCUUCAGGAUUACUCCGAUAAGCAGGACGGUUGGGUAGUGCAGCUCCGGGUACUAAGUCUAUUUGAUGUUCGAUGCCUCGGAUAGGGGGCAGCCCACUUGCUAUUUCGUCCGGAAAUAUGUCUUCAAAUUCCUGAAUCAAAGACAAUACAGAAGCAGGCAAGUUUUCAGGUAACUCAUUAGUAUUCAACAAUGCCUUCUUGUACAUAAAUACAUACAUAGGCUGUCUCAAAAACAUCGCUCGCCGGAUAUCACUAACCCUCGCAAACACACUCAUUUUUCCACUUUCUUUUUCCUCUCCACUUUUUACUUAUUUUUGUUUCUUUUCAUUUUCUCUCGCAUUUUUAGUCUUUUCUCUCUCUUUUUCCUUAAUUUUCUCUUUUGCACUCUUUUCUUUUUCUCUCGCUUGUUCCACUGAAAGUUUAAGUUUUUGUUGAUCCUCGUACACUUGCUUCGGAGUGAGGGGUGCAAGUGUCACGUUCUUGCCAAGAUGUUUGAAGGAGUAUCUAUUAGUGUAACCAUCAUGCAUCACCCGUCGGUCGAACUGCCAUGGUUGUCCUAGAAGCAAAUGGCUCGCGUGCAUUGGCACUACAUCACAUAAUACUUCAUCAGAAUACUUCCCGAUGCUAAAGGACACUAGGACUUAUUUUGUCACUUUGAGUUCACCGCCAUCGUUAAGCCGCUGGAGCUUGUAUGGAUUCGGGUGCUUGGUGGUUGACAGGCCCAACAUUUCUACCAUGAGGGUGCUUACCACGUUUGUGCAACUCCCUCCAUCGAUUAUGAUGCUACACACUUUCCCUUGAACUUGACAUCUCGAAUGAAAAAUGUUCUCACGUUGUUGUUCGUCUUCCACACUUUGAAGACUUAGGCUUCGCUUGACGACGAGUAACUCACCUUCAACGGGUUGUUCUAAGUCCUCCUCAACUUCAGAAUUUGAUUCAGGAUUGUUCUCUUCCUCGUCCUCCGUUUCAAUCUCACCGUCGGCCCUUAUCACCAUGGUACGUCUAUUCGGGCACUGACUCGCUAUAUGUCCACGACCAAGACACUUGAAGCACUUUAUGUCCCUUGAACGGGCGGUGGAACUUUCAGGAGCUUUACCUUUACUUGACUCAACAAUAGGCUUAUUCGCCUUAGAUAUUGUUGAAGAAUCCUUCGUUUGAUUUGUUGGAAAACCCUUGCUUGUGCUUUGGCCCCAUUUAGAAGGAUUGGUGUUAGGAUAGGCUCGGGUGGUACCUUUUCGCUUCAACUGCUUCUCCACUUUGAUAGCCAUGUGGACCAUGUCCACAACCUCAACAUAAUGUUGCAGUUCUACGACAUUUGCAAUCUCUCGAUUAAGUCCCGCUAGAAAGCGAGCCAUUGUGGCUUCUCGAUCUUCUUGUAUAUCGGCACGGAUCAUAGCCACUUCCAUUUCUUUAUAAUAGUCUUCCACACUCUUCGUCCCUUGGAUGAGAUUUUGGAGUUUUUGAUGCAACUCCCGAUUAUAGUAGGAUGGAAUGAAUCGUCGUCGCAUAACCGCCUUUAUUUCGGUCCAAGUGGAAAUGGGAUGCUCCCCGUUACGCCUCCGACUAGUGGUCAACUGAUCCCACCAUAUCAUUGCGUAAUCUGAAAACUCAAUUGUGGCGAGUUUGACUUUCUUAUUUUCAGAGUAGUUAUGACAUUCGAACACUAAUUUGAUUUUCUUCUCCCACUCAAGGCACGCCUCGGGAUCAGAUUUACCUUGGAAAGGAGGAAUGGAGAGUUUGAUAUUCUUCAAGUCAUCAUCUUCCCGCCUUCGAUCUACUUGUCCACGGUUUUGGGGACAUCUCCUUUCUAGGCUUAUGUUAGAACCGUGAUCGCUUUCAUCUUCACUAUUUUCAUUAACAUCAUCAUCUUGAACCCUUGGUUGUCUUCGUCGUUGAUUAGGCCCUUCACGUCUUUGCCUAGCAACUUCAGGAUAUUCAUCGCGUUGUCUUUGGCCCUCGACUUGGUAGAGUCUAUCUUCAAGAGGAUUAAGCCUUCAAUCAAGUAAUUGUUCCAUCUCACGCAAAAGGGCUUGCAUUUGCAAAUCUGGAACGUUUCUGACAGGUUGUCGCCCUUGUUGUUCUUCCAUGUUUUAUCCACUAUUUUGGGACAUCUAUUCAUUUAAGAUAGCCUCACAAACAAAUCCUCUCAAUCCGCUCAGAAAGAAAGAAGCUUGAUGACAUUCACACUCGUGUUUACACUCUUAGUUCGGCUUUUACCUCCCCUCGAAUGCGCUCACGCUCUCUUGCCUUUUACCUCUCUUGACUUUUCUCGUAAUUUCGUAAGCAGAUUCGUUAAGGCUCGGUCCUUGGUCUAGGUGGUCGGUUCAAAAGGGAUAAUAAGUGAUUGAUGUAUUCGAUAUAGGGUAGGCUGAAAGAAUAGGGAAUUGGGUAAAAAAUGUGGCGAAUUAGGGAGAGUAGAAUAGAAGAAGGGUCGGGAACUAUAUCAGAUCAAAGCUUGACGAUCAAAUAACAAUUGAAUUGCAUAAAUCACUUUUUUCGAUUUUUUUUAUUUUUUUUUCGAAUUUUUUUUCGAAUUUUUUUAUUUAUUUUUUAACUUGCAUAACUUUUUUUUGUUGUACUAUAUCGACAAACUAAAUACAAUAAAAACACUUUUGUACACGAUCUUUUUUUUUCGGCUGCGUAGAUUUUUGUUUUUAUAGCAACAAUAACAAACUAAUCGAAAUGAGAAAACUUCGGUGUACGAAUUUUUUUUUCUAUACUCUUUUUUUUUUCUGAACCUACCUCGGGAAUGCUCCGCUUCGAACGUCUAAGCUUCUCGUUUUAGGUAGCUCUGAUACCAGAUGAUACGAACCGUCUCGGGAAGAGUCGAGUCGUAUGUAGAUUGCCCGAUCGUCUACGAGAAGUUACGUUAGGAUUAGUUGAGUUGAAGGUAUAGUCUGAGUAGAAAGAGGGGUACGAAUGGAAUGGUAGGAACGAAAGGGUAGGAACAAAAUGGUAUGAACAAAUUGGUCGAUUUAGGUUCGAUUAGGUAAAGAAGAAAGAACGGGUUUGAAAUACUAAAGGUACUUUCAAGAACCAAAUAUCGAAAUGGUAUCGACCCGUUGAUUUAGCCUUUUGAGUUCGGUUAUAGGUUUGGUAAGGGAAACCUCGACCCACUAUCUAACAAGAUAGGAACCUCGGUAUGUUGAACGCCACACUACGAAUAGUGAUAAGUUCGGGUACGACAAAGAACACGGUUGACACAACUAGAACGCUAGGAACGCCAAACAAAUCUUUGAACGAAAUAUAAGAAAAGUUUGCCUCACGAUUUUGGCAGCAUAACAUUAACAAAAGUUUCAAAAAGUGCUUUACAUGGAAAUUGAACAAGUAUUUAUAAGCCUAAGUCUAGGUAGCCGAAUGGCCUUUCAUACUUACACAUUAAUUAAAAGAAAAUUCUAGAAAAAUAACUCUUAAUAUGCAUGACCAGAUUCGGUUUUAGGAAUGGUGGAUGAAUGCAUCUUCAUGCUUAAGAAAACUCAAAGUGAAUGCAUGAUAUCCAAUGGUCACUUGUAGAUUCGGCCAACCUUGUUAAAUGAAGCAAUGUUUGGCUAAAAAGUAUGAAUUAAUUGUGGACACUCCAAGGGCCAUCAUGUGUGUGAAACCGAAUGUUGAAGAGUCUUCUAGUGUGAACAAGGUGAACCGAAUAGUCUUGCCAUGUGAACAUAGGUGUGAACGAAUUAAGGAGAGUCAUGGGGAAGCUAAUUGGCCAAGCUAUCUUCAUGCAUGUGUGAGUGUCCUUUGGCCGAAUGGUCACCUUGGAGAAUGAAGAGAUAGCACACCAUACAUGAAUGGAAACAUUCAUGAACCUUAAAGACAUUGAAUAUGGUCAUACAUGCACUUAGCCGAACAUGCACCUAAGAGAUUCAAAUCCCCCAACCGUCCAUGCACCUUCAAAAUUCAUGCUUGCUUUUAAUCUCCAUAUGUCCAUUGCGUUUCUACAAGAAAUGUGAACAGAAUUAAUUCAAACUAAUGUGAACACAAAUAUCAACAUUAAAUUCGGUUAUGACAAAUUUAAUUAUCAUCAAUAAACACUUUUAAGACAUACUUAAUAUAACUAAUGUGAACUAAAUUUAUUAUGUAGGAUAUUAAUUAACUAAUUAUUGAACUUAUUAAUUAAAAAAGUCAAUAGUAGUCAAAUGAAUUCAAAGUGAACUCCAUAAGCUGAUGGUUAAUUCAUGAGCUAAACCCGAGCUGGGCUUAAACUCGUGAGCUGAUAAUGAGCUGGUCCCGAGCUAAUGAGCUGGUGUGGAGCUACAUGGGAGCUAACUUGAACUGAAGGUGAGCUCGGUGAGCUGAACUGAACUUGUAGAAAAGUUCGGCAGAUAUUUCCAAAAUGGCCACUAACUGGUUCGAUAGGUCUAGCAUUGACAUCAUCCCACACAGGCUGAACUAAAGCUAUAACAGCUUCUUUAAAUUGUUUUGCACGAGCCCUUGUGAUCGGCCCUUGAGGUAGCACCAUCGGAUCUCGGCUUGGACUUGACUUAUGGGAAGCCGUGAUCGUAUCAAAUACACUUGCUUAAAUUCACUUCCAUCUUCAUCUUUAUUCAAACACCAAUUUCUUAGCAAGUGCUCCAUUACCUUUUUCUAAUUUUAACUUUUUCCUUUCAAUUUCUUUUAAAACAAAAACUAAACUCAUUAAAAUUGAAAGAAAAACUUAUUAAUUCAUUCCAUAAAUGAGAUCAUACAAUUUAGAAAAAAAAACAACAAACACUCGUUAGUGUUAAGGACAAGCUCCAACAACACGAUAAAGACUUUAGCCUUUGCUACAUUUUACCUUAACAUAAAUGAACAAGGGAUUAAACAUAUGGAAACAAUUAUAUAUCCAUUAUAAUCAAAUUACAAAAUUCAACUUUAGGAUUUCUUAAAGAAUCAAACCAUAACAUACCAUAUCACAUAACCUAUCAAUUCAUUCCAAGUACAAGUUAUUAAUAACUUAUAAUCAAGAGAAAGAAGAUGAGAAUAGCUCAUCUUUUACCAUUUCUUUACUUAUUAUUAUUAAAAUAUAAAUCUUACCUAAAGAUGAUCUAAUGGUUAUGGUUGGUUGAUAGAAAAUUUAGUGGCAAUCAAUGGUUGAUAUCAUUACUAGCCACUAGCACUUUCGUCAAUUAUGGGAUAAUUUUUAUUAAGGGCUUAGUAUAUCAUUUAACAAGGACUUAUUCAAUUCUUCAAUGGUCGGUGGAGGUUCAGCAACAACAGGCACUGUUAUCUGUCCAUCACAAGUUGUGAAGGCAACGAAGAUAUCUACAAAGUAGAUUUAAAAAUUAAAAAGAGAUAAGGCACAUAAAAUGAAUAAAGAGAGGAAAAAAUAAGUUGAGUGGGAGGAAAAAAAUAGACGGACAAUAACCAACCCGCUCGACUGCUAGCACCACUAUUAGACAAAACAAAAUAGAAAAAGCAAAUGGCUUAAAGAAAAAAAAAUUCUUUUAAGGUUUUCCAAUAAAUUCGAGGUCUUGAAAUGAGUUUCUAAGAAUGAUUAAAUAAUGGUUGGAACUAAUAGAAUACUUAAAAAAAAGUUUUUGGGCAUUCUUUAAAUUUAACUCUAUGCGAGGUUUCUUAUGUUUGAUGCCCAAAAGAAUUUGAAUGUAAAUUUAGAAAUAAAUUUGAAAAAAAAUCUUAUUAUAUUUUUGAAAAUUUUAUAUAAAUUUGAAUAUAUAUUAAUCUUUAUUUUUUUUACCUUAUAAAAUUUAUUUCACAUAACAAACAUUUUAUGCAACAUGACACUUUUCUAGCAUGUCAUGUUAGUGUUCUUUUUAAUAGGUAUAAAAUUUCAAACUCAAAAGGAAUUUUUGUAGGGUUAAAAUAUGCUUCAAGUCAUUGUACUCUUUGUAUAUUUGAAUUUUAAUUUAUUUAUUUUUUAGAUUUCAAAAUUCAUGUCAAUUGUUAUAAUCAGAUUAAAGUUUAUUAAUUUCGUUGGUGUGAAAUUUUAAAAUAAUAAAACAAAUUAAUUAGUAGAUAUGUAACGAAAAAUGAUAUUUUAAUAAAUCUAAAUUUGAUCGAUGAGUUUUAACGGUAUUAAUAAUUGGAUUUGUAUUUUUAAAUUCAAAAAGUAAAAAGAUUAAAAUCCUUAAAAUAAAAGUAGGAGAACUAAAUUCUAAAUGCACGACUAAUAUAGGGCCUUGCAGCCUAUUUUAACUUUUCUUUUCUUAAUAACAAACUAAUAGUAGAGUAUAAUUUUGAGAGCUAAAUUAACCUUUAACCUGAACCUCAAUUGUCACCUAUUGACUAGAUGCUUACAUUUCUCCUAUAAUAACUUUAAUUCGAAGCACAGUUAUAUAAAAUAAAAUAACCUUAAACCCAUAAUAUAAGAAUGAAGAAAAAUAGUAUUUCCAAAGCAAAACACUCCAAAGCUAUAAACAUUACCUCUUUUUAGUGACAACCAUAGGAUUUGGACAUGCUAUUCUCUAUCCUAUGCUCCAGAAUUCACCGAUGUUUAUUUUUUUCUUAAAAUAAUCACACGUACGCUAGACCUGUUCAUGGGUCGGGUCACCCGGCCCAACCAAAAGCCUGCCCGAAAUGUGGGAGGGUUUGGGCAAAAAUAUAAGUACGAAAAAUUGGCUUGAACAAAAAAAUAUGGUCCGUUUAAAAAAGGGCUGCCCUCGGGUAAGGUAUUUUUGGCCCGGGCUUGGCCCGAAUUCAUUAAAGGACAUAAAAAAUCUGCUCUGUUUUUUUUUAAUAUUAUUUACUUGUUGUUUUCUCUCAUUUUGCUACUAUUUCACUAUUAUAUUGUUAUUAUUUGGAUAUUGUAUAAAACUUAUUUUAUUGUUAAUUUUGUUAUUAUUUUAAAGGCAUUUGUUAAUUUUGUUAUUAUUUUAGAAAUAUUUGCUUGUUAGGUUGCAUAUAUCUUAGUGUUAUUUAAGUCUACAUAUUUUUUAAAAUUUAUUUUCAAACACCAAUUUGGGAUCAUAUAAUUCAAACACCAAUUUCUUUAAAAACAAAAUCUAAUCUCAUUAAAAUUGAAAACAAAAAUUCAUUAAUUCAUUCCAUAAAUGAGAUUAUAUAAUUUGGGAAAAAGAAAAAGAAUCAACAAACACUUGUCGACAGUGAAAAACAAGCUCCAACAACACGACAAAAGCUUUAGUCUCAACAUCAAUAAAACAUUAUGACAAGCUAAUAAUCAACUUUAUCACAACUCAACAUCAACAAAAAAAAAUAAUUUUUAUAUUUUUUAAAUAAUUCCGAAUUUUUUAGUAGGUAUGAUAAUAAUAAUAAUUUGAUUUAAUCCCAUCUUAUUUCUACUUUUUAGUCACUCACCAAACUAAUUUCAAUUUUGAAUUUAAUCAAAAUAAAAUAAAUUUGAUUUAAUCCCAUCUUAAUUUCGUGUUUAAAUUUGCAAAUUAAAAACAAUAACUCUAAAUUUGAAAUUAAAAAAAAUCAAUUUGGCCCCUUAAAGGUUUAAAAUUCUGUUCCAAUCCUAAAAAUCAAUAUGAGAUUUAAUUUAAACCAUGAUUUAGAACCAAACUUUUAAUUCUAAUUCUAAAAUUAAGUUAAAAUUUAAAUUAUUUCUAAAAUUAUAUUAAAAUGUGGAUUCUGUUUAAAGAGGUCAUUUAAACCAUAUUCAAUAAAAUUAAAACCUAACAACCUCGAAAUUGAAAUGCACGAAAACAAUGGAAAUUAAAUAAUUUUUUUAUUUAAUGUAAUUUUAGAUAGUUAAUAUGGGAAUUAAAUUUGUUUUUAUAAUGUAACUCAUUUUGUGAUUUGAUUACUUUAAUCAAAUAAGUACUCUGUUGUGAAGAAGCUAAUUAAUUAAAUUAAAUUAAGUUAUAUUUAAUUUUAAAAAAUAUUUCUAUUGAUAUUUAUAUAUGUUAUUUAUUAGAUUAUGUAAAUUUUAACUAAAAUUAAAUAUUAAUCUUGAUUAUUAAAACAUAGUUCUAGUUAUUAAAAUUCAUGCUUUCAACCAAAAGUUUUAAAUAUUUUAUAGGAAAAAAAGAAAGCAACUAUGAAUAACAAUGUCGUGCCUUGUUGAAGAUUUAUUCUAUUUAUCACUUUCCAUUGGUUCCUAUAUUAUUACAUCAACUUCAAAUCAUUUAUUUAUUUGUGAUUUUCAUCGCUCAUAAACAUCUCAUGAUUCUUAAGUUCGAUCAAUGAUAUUUCAUGAAGAGGCAUUGCAAUUGGAGACUUGAUGUGUAGGAAUUCUUGAGACACUAAUUUCAUUGUUGGUCGAGCUUUGGGUCUAGGUCGUAAGCAUGCAAAAGCAAUGACAGCAAUAAAAGCAAUGUCUCCUGCCAUUUUUUGACUUCUCGGGGUUGAUAAUCGAGGGUCCAAAAUUUCAUUUAGCAUGAAAUUUUGGACACAAGACGAUGAUGAUGAUAGUGUUGACAAUAAUUCACCAGGAUGCUUUCCCAUCAAUAUUUCCAACGCCAACACUCCAAAACUAUAAACAUCACAUUUUUCGGUCACGACCAACGAAUAAGCAAGUUCUGUAAUUAAAAUAAAAAAGAAAAGUUAAAUAGAUGUUAAUUUAUAUUCUGUAUUCAGCUUAGUUUAUGUUUGCAUUUGAAUCCUCCAAUCUCGAAUUAAUUUUUGUAAUUUAUAUUUGAAAUUUUUUAAUUUUGUUUUUCCUACUUGUUUCCCUCAUUAUUCUAAUAAGUAAUUCGAAACAAAUAAGCAGCAGAAACUAAGAAUGGAUAAAACUAAAUAAAAAAGAUAAGAAGAGAGUGAAGGUGCAGAACCUGGGGCAAUAUAUCCAUACGUCCCAACAAUUACAGUUCGAUUAGAUGAAUCAGGAUCAAGAAGUCUUGCAGUCCCAAAGUCAGCAAUAACAGCUUCCAAUUCAGAGUUCAACAAAAUGUUAUUGCUUGAGAUGUCUCGAUGAACAAUUGGAGGGUUGCAAUCAUGAUGCAUGUAAGAUAGAGCAUGUGCGACACCUUUGACAAUGUUCACUCUUUUGGUCCAAUCCAAUUCCACAGCUUCCUCAUCAAUGCUCAAGGCAUAAAACAAGCUUCCCUUUUCCAUAUAUUCAUAAAUCAAGAACAUGCAACGGUUGUGGAGACAAAAUCCGUGGAGCUUGACGAUGUUCUUGUGUCGUAUUUCUGUUAAAAACUUGAUCUCAUUUCGGAAACUUGUGUCGUAAGCCGGUUGCUCCGCUUCCAAUCGGUGGAGUUUUUUUAAGGCAACAACUUUGCCACUUGGUAAGACUGCUCUGUAAACACUGCCAUAACCACCCGUUCCAAUGCAAUAUUUGAUAUCAAAAUCCUCCGUUGCUCUGAUGAUGUCUUCAAAUGCAAUCUUUCCAUCAAAAUUCCAAAUACAAAAUAAAUCUCCAUUUUUGGUUGGACUUGGAAUAUGUUUCAGAGCUUUAGCUCUAUGUUGUUGGCAAAAGAUGAAUAUCACCAAUGUAAAGAAUGAGAUAAGAAAUAACAAUGUCGGGACAAGAAUAAUGACUGCCAGAUUGUGCUUCGUUGAUGGGCAAGGAAGGAAGCCUUGAAUGGAACCACAUAAAUCCUUAUUGCCUAUAAAUGUCUUGGGUGGAAAAUUCAAUAACCCAUAUGGAAUUGGACCCCUCAGGGAGUUAAACGAUAAGUUGAGGUUCUCCGGAUAAAAUGGAAAUUCGGGAAUCAUGCCCGUUAGAUUAUUUCGACUGAGAUCAAUGUUGGGAAAUCUGGAAACACUUAAUUGAGUUAAACUCCCAAACUGGGAAGGUAUCACUCCUUGGAGAAGGUUAUGGCUAAUAUCAAUGUUUGUGGAAUGAGAAAGGUUAAAGAGUUGAGAAGGUAUGUCUCCACCAAUAAAGUUAUGGCUUAGAUCAAGCUGGUAUAGUGAUAAGUAACAAAUUUGCAGGGGAAUCCUUACACUCAAGUAAUUGUUUGCCAAAAUUAAGUAUGUUAAAUUUGACAAAUUACCAAUCUGAGUUGGAAUGGAUCCACUCAAUUUAUUGUCCGAGAGAUCUAAGCAUUUUAAAGCCUUCAAACUCUCAAUUUCAUGGGGUAUAGGACCUUCCAAAAGAUUCGAAGCCAUGGAUAGAUACCAUAAAUUGGAUAAACUACCCAAAUUUGGAGGGAUAAAACUACUAAUUUGAUUAUGGUAGAGAUAAAGAGAUUCCAAUUUUGUUAACUGACCCAGAGAGGAAGGGAUGUGACCUGAAAGCUUAUUGGAUGAUAGAUCUAAUUCAACCAAAUUCGUUAGUCUCCCAAUAUCUUCUGGAAUGGAUCCAUUAAGUUGGUUUCUUUGAAGGGACAACGAGGCAAGAUUGGUUAAGUUGCUGACAGAAGAUGGGAUUGGACCAAAAAGAUAAUUGGAGGAUAGAUUCAGUGCAACCAAAUUCGUUAGUCUCCCAAUAUCUUCUGGAAUGGAUCCAUCAAGUUGGUUGCUUUGAAGGAACAACGAGGCAAGAUUGGUUAAGUUGCUGAUAGAUGAUGGGAUUGGACCAAAAAACCAAUUGUUUGAGAGAUCAAGAUUAACCAUACUCUCUAGCUCUCCAAUAUUUGGUGGAAUGGUACCACUGAGGCGGCAGUUUCUGAGGUGGAGAGUCAUUAGCUUUUUAAGGUUGAAUAUUUCGGAAGACAUAAAAAAAAUGGAGUUACCAGACAAAUUUAGAGAAACAAGAUUCUCCAUGUUCUGAAUUUCCGAGGGAAUGGAAUGAAGAUAGUUAUAAGAAAGAUCAAGCACUGCCAAUUGAGUGAGGUUUCCAAGUGAAGAAGGUAACUCACCUGUAAGGCUAUUCAAAGACAGGUUAAGGAGCUUGAGUUUCGAAAGUGCUCCUAUUUGAGGUGUUAUGCCCCCAUUCAGACCAUGGCCACUAAGAUCAAUAUCGACGACACUUCCAGCAUUGCAUCGAAUACCAGGCCACAUACAAUGGUUUCCAACUCUCUUUUUGUAAUUACUCCACCACCCCGUUUCCCUCAACGCUUUUGCCUCUGCUGCCAGCCAUUGAGAAUCAUCGUUCGUUGCUCUUGUAAUUGCACUAGUGAUUACAAUUACAGAGAGUAAAAAGAAGGUAGGGAUACAAGUGUAGGAGUAGGAUUUCAUAGCUAUGAAGUUGAUGGCUGAAGCUGCAGUCCAAUUCUCAAACUUGAGCUUAUUUAAAUACAUAUAAAACAGAUUUAAUUUCAUUGGAUAUCUAUUAAUU